AUUAAGAUAGGUUAUAUAAACCUAAAAGUUUAUAUCUUUUAAAAUUCUAUUUAGAAUCUUAAUA
rnacentral:tRNA from 2 species